rnacentral:SRP_RNA from 2 species
GCCAGGCGCGGUGGCUCACGCCUGUAAUCCCAGCACUUUGGGAGGCUGAGAUGGGUGGAUCACCUGAGGUCAGGAGUUUGAGACCAGCCUGGCCAACAUGGUGAAACCCCAUCUCUA